UACGAAGGGGGCUAGCGUUGCUCGGAAUUACUGGGCGUAAAGCGCACGUAGGCGGUCUUUUAAGUCGGGGGUGAAAUCCUGGAGCUCAACUCCAGAACUGCCUUUGAUACUGAAAGUCUUGAGUAUGGGAGAGGUGAGUGGAACUGCGAGUGUAGAGGUGAAAUUCGUAGAUAUUCGCAAGAACACCAGUGGCGAAGGCGGCUCACUGGCCCAUUACUGACGCUGAGGCACGAAAGCGUGGGGAGCAAACAGG
rnacentral:rRNA from 1 species